CGUUCUUUGGCCGAAUUGGUAAAGGCAUCGCCGAUCAUAGUCGAGGUUGCGGGUUCGAGUCCCGCUGGAACGG
rfam:Operophtera brumata OBRT01_Sc13581, whole genome shotgun sequence.